AUGAACGCUAGCUACAGGCUUAACACAUGCAAGUCGAGGGGCAGCAUGAACUUAGCUUGCUAAGUUUGAUGGCGACCGGCGCACGGGUGAGUAACACGUAUCCAACCUGCCGAUGACUCGGGGAUAGCCUUUCGAAAGAAAGAUUAAUACCCGAUGGCAUAGUUCUUCCGCAUGGUAGAACUAUUAAAGAAUUUCGGUCAUCGAUGGGGAUGCGUUCCAUUAGGUUGUUGGCGGGGUAACGGCCCACCAAGCCUUCGAUGGAUAGGGGUUCUGAGAGGAAGGUCCCCCACAUUGGAACUGAGACACGGUCCAAACUCCUACGGGAGGCAGCAGUGAGGAAUAUUGGUCAAUGGACGAGAGUCUGAACCAGCCAAGUAGCGUGAAGGAUGACUGCCCUAUGGGUUGUAAACUUCUUUUAUACGGGAAUAAAGUGAGGCACGUGUGCCUUUUUGUAUGUACCGUAUGAAUAAGGAUCGGCUAACUCCGUGCCAGCAGCCGCGGUAAUACGGAGGAUCCGAGCGUUAUCCGGAUUUAUUGGGUUUAAAGGGAGCGUAGGCGGACGCUUAAGUCAGUUGUGAAAGUUUGCGGCUCAACCGUAAAAUUGCAGUUGAUACUGGGUGUCUUGAGUACAGUAGAGGCAGGCGGAAUUCGUGGUGUAGCGGUGAAAUGCUUAGAUAUCACGAAGAACUCCGAUUGCGAAGGCAGCCUGCUGGACUGUAACUGACGCUGAUGCUCGAAAGUGUGGGUAUCAAACAGGAUUAGAUACCCUGGUAGUCCACACAGUAAACGAUGAAUACUCGCUGUUUGCGAUAUACAGUAAGCGGCCAAGCGAAAGCGUUAAGUAUUCCACCUGGGGAGUACGCCGGCAACGGUGAAACUCAAAGGAAUUGACGGGGGCCCGCACAAGCGGAGGAACAUGUGGUUUAAUUCGAUGAUACGCGAGGAACCUUACCCGGGCUUGAAUUGCAACUGAAUGAUGUGGAGACAUGUCAGCCGCGAGGCAGUUGUGAAGGUGCUGCAUGGUUGUCGUCAGCUCGUGCCGUGAGGUGUCGGCUUAAGUGCCAUAACGAGCGCAACCCUUAUCGAUAGUUACCAUCAGGUGAUGCUGGGGACUCUGUCGAGACUGCCGUCGUAAGAUGUGAGGAAGGUGGGGAUGACGUCAAAUCAGCACGGCCCUUACGUCCGGGGCUACACACGUGUUACAAUGGGGGGUACAGAGGGCCGCUACCACGCGAGUGGAUGCCAAUCCCCAAAACCUCUCUCAGUUCGGACUGGAGUCUGCAACCCGACUCCACGAAGCUGGAUUCGCUAGUAAUCGCGCAUCAGCCACGGCGCGGUGAAUACGUUCCCGGGCCUUGUACACACCGCCCGUCAAGCCAUGGGAGCCGGGGGUACCUGAAGUGCGUAACCGCAAGGAGCGCCCUAGGGUAAAACUGGUGAUUGGGGCU
rnacentral:rRNA from 1 species